rnacentral:rRNA from 1 species
GACGAACGCUGGCGGCGUGCUUAACACAUGCAAGUCGAACGGUGAAGCGCCUUCCUUUUUGGUGGGUGUGGAUGAGUGGCGAACGGGUGAGUAACACGUGAGUAACCUGCCCCCUUCUUCUGGAUAACCGCAUGAAAGUGUGGCUAAUACGGGAUAUUCUGGGUCUGCCGCAUGAUGGGUCUGGGAAAGAUAUUGUUUCGGUGGGGGAUGGGCUCGCGGCCUAUCAGCUUGUUGGUGGGGUGAUGGCCUACCAAGGCGGUGACGGGUAGCCGGCCUGAGAGGGUGGACGGUCACACUGGGACUGAGACACGGCCCAGACUCCUACGAGAGGCAGCAGUGGGGAAUAUUGCACAAUGGGCGCAAGCCUGAUGCAGCGACGCCGCGUGAGGGAUGGAGGCCUUCGGGUUGUGAACCUCUUUCGCCAGUGAAGCAGGCCUGCCUCGUUUGUGGGUGGGUUGACGGUAGCUGGAUAAGAAGCGCCGGCUAACUACGUG